AUGCCACGCCUCGAGGACAUCAUCAACACAUGCACAGAAUGGGCGUUACAUCUGCUGAAUCGAUGCACGGAGAAACAGCGGUUGCCGGUCAUCAUGACGCUAUGGAGAAGCUGGCACGUCCGAAAUGAAGUGGUACAUCAAAAACCGGCACCUGCGAUUGAAGCUUCAAGGAGGUUCUUAUGCAGCUACAUCGACAACCUGCGUUGCAUUCAGCAACACCCACACGAGGACAUCAUCAAAGGAAAAAUGAUAUGUACACAGGGAGCUAGUCGGAACCAUAUGAAGAUGGUGGUCGCCCCAUCUAGCUGCACUCGGCCUCCAGAACAGUGGACCAAGCCUCCUCAAGGAUGGGUCAAGCUCAACGUUGACGGCGCAUGGCGGGAAGAGUAUGGAACAGGUGGAGCGGGAAUGAUCCUCCGCGACCAUAAUGGAUCAAUCAUUUUUUCCUCAUGCCGGUUCCUCACUACAUGUGUUAGUGCUUUGGAAGCAGAGAUGGCUGCAUGUAUGGAAGGGAUCACUCUCACCCUAGAGUGGAGUACUAUGUCGUUCAUUCUAGAAACUGAUAGUAGUGUUGCAGCUAACAUGAUCAAGGAGGAGAAGGAGAACAGGUCACCAGUCGCUGCUCUCGUCGGCGAAACCAAACGACUCCUUGCUCUGGGCCGGGAGCAUGUGAUAUUGCAUGUUAGUAGAGAUCUUAAUAAAGUGAGUCAUUACCUAGCUCAGAUAGGCCACUCUACUUCUAAAACUGCAGUUUGGCUGCGAUGUGGACCUGAUGAAAUUGGCAACCUUUGCCAACAGGAUUGUAACAAUCUUCCCUGA
rnacentral:rRNA from 1 species